CAGGUAAAACCUCAGAUAGAACAUCAGAUAGAACAUCAGAUAGAACAUCAGGUAAAACAUCAGAUAGAACAUCAGGUAAAACAUCAGAUAGAACAUCAGAUAGAACAUCAGGUAAAACAUCAGAUAGAACAUCAGGUAAAACAUCAGAUAGAACAUCAGGUAAAACAUCAGAUAGAACAUCAGGUAAAACAUCAGAUAGAACAUCAGGUAAAACAUCAGAUAGAACAUCAGGUAAAACAUCAGAUAGAACAUCAGAUAGAACAUCAGAUAGAACAUCAGGUAAAACAUCAGAUAGAACAUCAGGUAAAACAUCAGAUAGAACAUCAGGUAAAACAUCAGAUAGAACAUCAGAUAGAACAUCAGGUAAAACAUCAGAUAGAACAUCAGGUAAAAUAUCAGAUAAAACAUCAGGGAUGAAGCUGUAAAUACCAAGGGCACAAUGCAGAUCUAUUGGCAAAUGAAAGAAACAUUGGAAAUGUGCCAUGCUCAUGCUUGCCAUGCUCAUAGACAAAACACAGCAACGUUGUUUUCCAUAACGUAUGUCACCAUUACAAAUAUCAUCAGG